GUGGGUGGAGGGGCCAGCGCACCGGCCCGCACAGGUGGACGGGUCCGCUCCCCAGCCCCAGCGUCCCGCCCCGCUGCUGCGUCCGGUCUCUCCCGGCCCGCACCCUCCUCCAGCCCAACAGUGAGACCCCCAGCGUCUGGCCGCCAGACUUUGGCAAAGAGAAGGACUUGAACCGCGGCUGACCUUAGCCUUUGUCCCUCGGCCUGGUUCCGCCGCUGCCCUCGAGGCCGCCAGCUCCUCCGCGCUAUGUUUUUUACCACCACUCUCUCUCCCAGCACAGCCACGGGCGUGUUUGGGCGAAGCCCCCUCCAUUCUGUCUGCGUUGGAGAAAUGUUCCCGGUACCAGAAGGAAUGAAAGGACUGGGGCUGGUCUCCAUGGCAACUGGAGAAAGAGGAAUAACUCUGGAAAUCCUAUAUAUCCAAACUCUGGAAAUUGCAACUCCUGCAAGAAGCCAUCCCAGAUGAAUCCUACAAGAACCAAGAACACCUGUAGCUAGUCUUCUAAAUCUCAGCACCCAGUGUGGCCCAUCUUUCUUUCUACCCCCCACCAAUGUGGUCCUCCUUGACCCGAGGGAGCGUUCAUCCUAGGCUGUGAGUUCUGAUAGGUCAUCCUGAAGAAUCAGAAAUCAUCAUCAUCAUCAUCAUCCAAGACUCCCAAGAUGAACCCCAGUAGCAAAACAACACCUGAAAUACCUGUGUAGUUUGUUUUUUGUUUGUUUUUUACAGUGUAGAGAGUGCCUUUACAUGUCAUUUAAUCCUCUAAGCGACACUGGGAUGAUGAGGCAACUUAACUGGAGACACACAGCUUAAAAAAUGACAGAGCCUGGAUUCCUGAGAAGUUCCGCUACUCUCUGCCUUACAGUAACCAGAAGGUACAGAUUCAGUAAAAUUCCAAUAAAUUCUUAGAAGGGUUUUUGUACUCUAAAUAAAUAUAUAAAUAUUUAUAUAUCUAUAUUUAGAUAUUUAUAUCUAAAUAAAUAUGUGUGUCCUCACUCUGUGGUAUGAACUUACUGACAGUUUGUGGCUAUCUCUAAAGUUUAUCCAAAAUAACGGAUGAAUGGCAAUUAGGCAAGAUGUUUAUAAUCCUAAAUGAAAAAUACAAAUACACUGAGCAAAAGAAAACAGACAUGAAAGAAUACAUACUGUAUGAUUUAUAUGAAGUUCAACAUUAAUAAAUGAUUAGAAAUCAGGAUGAUGGGGUUUUGUGGGGGGAAGGGGAAGAGAGUCAUGAUGACAGGGCACAGAUAGAUUUCUGUAGGACUGGGAAUGUUCAGUUUCUCUGGUCUGGGUGGUGGCUACAUGGGUGUGUUCACUUUGCAAUGUGUCUUUAAGAUGUUCACGUGUUUCGUGUACUUUUCUGUAUGUGUGUUUUACUUAAAACAUGUAUUUUAAGGAAAAGAAAAGAAAUUGAAGAUCUUUCGUGGAGCAAGGUUUUUUGUUUUUUUCCAAAACGUCAAAUAAAAGGAGCGAUUAAGAGAU